CCCUAGUAACUGCGAGUGAAGCGGGAAGAGCUCAAAUUUUAAAUCUGGCGAUCUAUGGUCGUCCGAGUUGUAGUCUGGAGAAGUGUUUUCUGCGCUGGACCGUGUAUAAGUCUCUUGGAACAGAGCGUCAUAGAGGGUGAGAAUCCCGUCUUUGACACGGACUACCAGUGCUUUGUGAUGCACUUUCAAAGAGUCGAGUUGUUUGGGAAUGCAGCUCAAAAUGGGUGGUGAAUUCCAUCUAAAGCUAAAUAUUGGCGAGAGACCGAUAGCGAACAAGUACCGUGAGGGAAAGAUGAAAAGCACUUUGGAAAGAGAGUUAAACAGUACGUGAAAUUGCUGAAAGGGAAACGCUUGAAGUCAGUCACGUUGUCCGGGACUCAGCCUUGCUUUUGCUUGGUGCAUUUUCCGGAUGACGGGUCAGCAUCGAUUUUGACCGUCGGAAAAGGGCUGGAGUAAUGUGGCACCUUUAUGGUGUGUUAUAGACUCUAGUCGUAUACGGCGGUUGAGAUCGAGGAACGCAGCGCGCCGCAAGGCAGGGGUUCGCCCACUUUCGCGCUUAGGAUGCUGGCAUAAUGGCUUUAAACGACCCGUCUUGAAACACGGACCAAGGAGUCUAACAUACCUGCGAGUGUUUGGGUGGAAAACCCGAGCGCGCAAUGAAAGUGAAAGUUGAGACCUCUGUCAUGGAGGGCAUCGACGCCCGGACCUGACGUUCUCUGAUGGAUCCGCGGUAGAGCAUGUAUGUUGGGACCCGAAAGAUGGUGAACUAUGCCUGAAUAGGGUGAAGCCAGAGGAAACUCUGGUGGAGGCUCGUAGCGAUUCUGACGUGCAAAUCGAUCGUCAAAUUUGGGUAUAGGG
rnacentral:rRNA from 2 species